UGGUGUACCAGUUAUUGUACCAACAGUAAACGCUGGGUAGCCAAGUGCGGAGAGGAUAACCGCUGAAAGCAUCUAAGUGGGAAGCCCACCUCAAGAUGAGUACUCUCACUACGAUAAGUAGGUAAGGUCACGGGCAGAACACCCGUUAAUAGGCUCUAUGUGGAAGUACAGUAAUGUAUGAAGCAAAGGGGUACUAAUAGACCGAGGGCUUGACCUC
rnacentral:rRNA from 1 species